rnacentral:lncRNA from 1 species
AAAAAGUAUACAGUAAUUUAGUAGAUAAAGAUAUAUGAUCAAAUAUCUAAAAUAUAUAAUCUGUGCAAUUACUGUUAAAUAUAAAAAUGUUUAAACACCGUUCUCUAACAGUUUAAACGUUUAGAGUACAACAGUUGUUUCACAUAGUAUCAGAGUAGGAGGUCCUGAGUUCGAAUCACGCCAGGCUCCUAACAUAUUAAUUUCCUCCCAUUUAAUUCAAGCCUACGUCAUAGGCCGAUUAAAAAGUCUCGAGCCCAGACGUGAAGGGAGGAGUGUUAAAUAUAAAAAUAUUUAGCUACCGUUCUAAAAUAUAUAAUCUGUGCAAUUACUUUGUCAGAACUCAGAAUAAAAUAAAUUAUUUCAUAAAUAAAAUAUACUAUGCUAUUAAUUCAUUAGUGCUUUUUUUUUUUUUUCACCUAGUAAAAAUCAAACUCUUUCUGCAGUUCUCUUGUUUAUUUUAUUUUUCUUUGGGGGGGAUUUAAAAAUAAAAAAGGUUUUGAUUUAUGUGCUCCUGUGGCCAUCUUUGAUUCUGGCGCAGGGGAUGGAGACAGGGAACAUCUCCAGCCUUAAAUGGGAAGAAACCAAAACCCAAGUACUACCUUCCAGGACCACAAACUCACAAAUUUAAUCCAUCUCUCUCUCUCUCUCUCUCUCUCUCUCUCUCUCUCUCUCUCUC